rnacentral:rRNA from 1 species
UACGUAGGGGGCAAGCGUUGUCCGGAUUUAUUGGGCGUAAAGAGCGUGUAGGCGGUUUGGUAGGUCCGCUGUGAAAACUCGAGGCUCAACCUCGAGACGCCGAUGGAAACCGUCUGGCUAGAGUCCGGAAGAGGAGAGUGGAAUUCCUGGUGUAGCGGUGAAAUGCGCAGAUAUCAGGAAGAACACCCGUGGCUAAGGCGGCUCUCUAGUACGGUACUGACGCUGAGACGCGAAAGCGUGGGGAGCGAACAGG